rnacentral:tRNA from 1 species
GCUUUUGUGGCGUAGUGGUCAGCACGCUCGCCACGUAUUCGAGAGGUCCGUGGUUCAAGUCCAAGCGAGGGCA